GGAGUUAGCCGGUGCUUCUUCUGUGAGUGAUGUCCUUCCUGCCGGCUAUUAACCCGCAGGCCUUCUUCCUCACUGAAAGUGCUUUACAACCCGAAGGCCUUAUUCACACACGCGGCAUGGCUGGAUCAGGGUUGCCCCCAUUGUCCAAUAUUCCCCACUGCUGCCUCCCGUAGGAGUCUGGGCCGUGUCUCAGUCCCAGUGUGGCUGAUCAUCCUCUCAGACCAGCUACGGAUCGUCGCCUUGGUGAGCCGUUACCUCACCAACCAGCUAAUCCGACAUAGGCUCAUCCGAUAGCGCGAGGCCCGAAGGUCCCCCGCUUUCCCCCGUAGGGCGUAUGCGGUAUUAGCCUGGGUUUCCCCAGGUUAUCCCCCACUACCGGGCAGAUUCCUAUGCAUUACUCACCCGUCCGCCGCUCGCCACCAGGGAGCAAGCUCCCCGUGCUGCCGCUCGACUUGCAUGUGUUAGGCCUGCCGCCAGCGUUCAAUCUGAGCCAGNGACACACUNACACGUGCGGCGGCGUCGACGACGGCGACUAG
rnacentral:rRNA from 1 species